CAGUAGCCACGGGAAUACGAAGGGGGCUAGCGUUGUCCGGAUUUACUGGGCGUAAAGCGCACGUAGGCGGAUCGAUCAGUCAGGGGUGAAAUCCCAGAGCUCAACUCUGGAACUGCCUUUGAUACUGUCGAUCUGGAGUAUGGAAGAGGUGAGUGGAAUUCCGAGUGUAGAGGUGAAAUUCGUAGAUAUUCGGAGGAACACCAGUGGCGAAGGCGGCUCACUGGUCCAUUACUGACGCUGAGGUGCGAAAGCGUGGGGAGCAAACAGGAUUAGAUACCCGCGUAGUCCCUGUCUCUUAUAC
rnacentral:rRNA from 1 species